GCAAACAACUACUCCCCCGGAAGGCUGUUAAUUCCAGGUUUUAUCUUUUUCUUUUUUCUGAGGGAGCCUGUUAAUUUACACUAUACUGCAUCAACCAAACUCAGGGAGAGAGAGAGAGAGAGAGAGAGAGAGAGAGAGAGCGAGGGAGGGAGAAGAGAGAGAUGACCCGUCGCACCAGAACCAGAAACAACUGGUUCUUCUUGUUGUUGUUGGCAAUCGUGCUGUUGUAUCUACUCCCUCUCUCCGCCAUCGCCCGACCGUUCGUCCUCGUACUCUCUCAAGACGACCUCAUCGACGCCCCGCCUUCCACCACCGAGGAUGACUCCUCCUCCGAGUGGGACGAGUUCGGCGACUCCAACACCAAGCCCGAGGACCUCGAUCCUGGAUCCUGGCGCCCGAUCUUCGAGCCCACUGCAGCAGAUCCAGCAGCAGCGUCCGAGUAUGAGAACGAGGAGGAGGAGGCGCUGUUCUACUCGGGCAUCACCAAUAUGGUCUCCUCCGUGAGUUCCGGCGAGCCUAGGUUGAUGGAGGAGGCUGCGUCUGAGAUCGAGGCCUCUGCCUCUGGGGGAUAUCCCCACGCCCAGUCUGCCCUAGGGUUUCUUUACAAUUUGGGGAUGACUAGGGAAUGGAACAGAGCCAAGGCAUUUAUGUACCAUUACUUUGCCGCCAAGGGGGGCAAUAUGCAGUCCAAGAUGGCUUUGGCUUACACCUAUUCUCGUCAAGAUAUGUAUGAUAAAGCAGUCAAGCUAUAUGCUGAACUAGCAGAGGUGGCCGUGAACAGUUUCUUGAUUUCAAAGGACUCACCUGUGAUUGAACCGGUUAGGAUCCAUAAUGGAGCAGAGGAGAAUAAGGAGGCCUUAAGGAAAUCCCGUGGGGAGGAGGAUGAGGAUUUCCAGAUUCUGGAAUACCAAGCUCAGAAAGGAAAUGCUGGAGCCAUGUACAAAAUUGGUAUAUUCUACUACUUUGGCUUGAGAGGAGUGAGGCGUGAUCAUGCCAAGGCAUUGUCAUGGUUUUUGAAGGCUGUGGAGAAGGGUGAACCGAGGUCCAUGGAACUUCUUGGGGAGAUAUAUGCAAGAGGGGCUGGAGUUGAGAGGAAUUACACUAAGGCGUUCGAGUGGCUAAAACUUGCUUCCAGACAGCAACUUUAUUCAGCUUAUAAUGGAAUGGGGUAUUUAUAUGUUAAGGGUUAUGGAGUGGAGAAGAAGAACAACACCAAGGCAAAAGAAUACUUUGAAAAGGCUGCUGAUAAUGACGAAGCUGGUGGGCAUUAUAAUCUGGGAGUGAUGUAUCUCAAAGGCAUCGGGGUAAAAAGGGAUGUGAAGCUAGCAUGCAAAUACUUCAUACUGGCUGCGAAUGCAGGUCAACCAAAGGCAUUUUAUCAGCUGGCAAAGAUGUUUCAUACCGGUGUGGGGCUUAAGAAAAACCUCCCUAUGGCAACUGCAUUGUACAAACUAGUUGCAGAACGGGGACCCUGGAGUUCCUUGUCUCGGUGGGCGUUAGAGGCAUACUUGAAAGGUGAUGUGGGCAAAGCAUUCUUUUUGUACUCGAGAAUGGCUGAGUUAGGCUAUGAGGUGGCACAAAGUAAUGCUGCGUGGAUUCUUGAUAAAUAUGGGGAACGUAGUAUGUGCAUGGGAGAAUCAGGUUUCUGUAGUGAUGCAGAAAGACAUUUGCGUGCUCAUUCUUUGUGGUGGCAAGCUUCUGAGCAGGGCAAUGAACAUGCUGCUUUGUUGAUCGGAGAUGCAUAUUAUUAUGGCCGGGGUACUGAGAAAGAUUAUGAUCGUGCUGCAGAGGCUUAUAUGCAUGCUAAAUCCCAGUCUAAUGCACAGGCCAUGUUCAACCUUGGAUACAUGCAUGAACAUGGUCAAGGACUUCCAUUUGAUCUUCAUCUUGCCAAGCGUUACUAUGAUCAGGCACUAGAGAUUGAUCCUGCAGCAAAGUUGCCUGUGACGCUGGCCCUCAGUAGCUUGUGGGUGCGAAAAAACUACGCAAACAGUUUCCUGGUUGAUGUGAUUGAUUCCCUGCCUGAAGUCUAUCCGAAAGUGGAAGCAUGGGUAGAAAAUGUGAUCAUGGAGGAAGGAAAUGCAACAAUACUCACUCUCUUUGUUUGCCUGCUAACUGUACUUUACCUUCGAGAGCGGCAACGAAGGCUUGCUGUCGCUGGGGAGGCGGCGCUGCCACAGCAACUUAACGACCUCGUUGCACCUGUAGUAGCCAAUUAACGGACCGGUGGCUCUAGUGGUAUUCUGGAAGACGAUAGUAUACAUCCCUAUCCUUGUGUGAAAGGGCACUGGAGUGAAUGAAAAAGAUGAAGAGCCAUUCGCAGAGUACGUGAUAGCAGAGCAGCAAGAUGAAGAUGAACGAUCGGAGCCGUGGAUGUACCAGUAGUUUUGUUUGACUUAGAUGGCUCUAUUUUUUGUUUUUUGUUUUUCUCCUUUUUAAGUUGAACAAUUUCUUAUUUGAGAAUUUCAGACAAUGUUGUGUUUUUGAUAAAUUUUAUUUGGUAAUAAGUUGGUAAAUUGUCUCUUACCGUUAGAAAUUGGAGACUUUUAAUAUAGGAUAAAUUUAGCAUUUUUUAAAUAAAA